GGUUAAGCGACUAAGCGUACACGGUGGAUGCCCUGGCAGUCAGAGGCGAUGAAGGACGUGCUAAUCUGCGAUAAGCGUCGGUAAGGUGAUAUGAACCGUUAUAACCGGCGAUUUCCGAAUGGGGAAACCCGGUGUGAUUCGUCACACUAUCAUUAACUGAAUCCAUAGGUUAAUGAGGCGAACCGGGGGAACUGAAACAUCUAAGUACCCCGAGGAAAAGAAAUCAACCGAGAUUCCCCCAGUAGCGGCGAGCGAACGGGGAGCAGCCCAGAGCCUGAAUCAGUGUGUGUGUUAGUGGAAGCGUCUGGAAAGGCGUGCGAUACAGGGUGACAGCCCCGUACACAAAAAUGCACAUAUUGUGAGCUCGAUGAGUAGGGCGGGACACGUGGUAUCCUGUCUGAAUAUGGGGGGACCAUCCUCCAAGGCUAAAUACUCCUGACUGACCGAUAGUGAACCAGUACCGUGAGGGAAAGGCGAAAAGAACCCCGGCGAGGGGAGUGAAAAAGAACCUGAAACCGUGUACGUACAAGCAGUGGGAGCACGCUUAGGCGUGUGACUGCGUACCUUUUGUAUAAUGGGUCAGCGACUUAUAUUCUGUAGCAAGGUUAACCGAAUAGGGGAGCCGAAGGGAAACCGAGUCUUAACUGGGCGUUAAGUUGCAGGGUAUAGACCCGAAACCCGGUGAUCUAGCCAUGGGCAGGUUGAAGGUUGGGUAACACUAACUGGAGGACCGAACCGACUAAUGUUGAAAAAUUAGCGGAUGACUUGUGGCUGGGGGUGAAAGGCCAAUCAAACCGGGAGAUAGCUGGUUCUCCCCGAAAGCUAUUUAGGUAGCGCCUCGUGAAUUCAUCUCCGGGGGUAGAGCACUGUUUCGGCAAGGGGGUCAUCCCGACUUACCAACCCGAUGCAAACUGCGAAUACCGGAGAAUGUUAUCACGGGAGACACACGGCGGGUGCUAACGUCCGUCGUGAAGAGGGAAACAACCCAGACCGCCAGCUAAGGUCCCAAAGUCAUGGUUAAGUGGGAAACGAUGUGGGAAGGCCCAGACAGCCAGGAUGUUGGCUUAGAAGCAGCCAUCAUUUAAAGAAAGCGUAAUAGCUCACUGGUCGAGUCGGCCUGCGCGGAAGAUGUAACGGGGCUAAACCAUGCACCGAAGCUGCGGCAGCGACGCUUAUGCGUUGUUGGGUAGGGGAGCGUUCUGUAAGCCUGCGAAGGUGUGCUGUGAGGCAUGCUGGAGGUAUCAGAAGUGCGAAUGCUGACAUAAGUAACGAUAAAGCGGGUGAAAAGCCCGCUCGCCGGAAGACCAAGGGUUCCUGUCCAACGUUAAUCGGGGCAGGGUGAGUCGACCCCUAAGGCGAGGCCGAAAGGCGUAGUCGAUGGGAAACAGGUUAAUAUUCCUGUACUUGGUGUUACUGCGAAGGGGGGACGGAGAAGGCUAUGUUGGCCGGGCGACGGUUGUCCCGGUUUAAGCGUGUAGGCUGGUUUUCCAGGCAAAUCCGGAAAAUCAAGGCUGAGGCGUGAUGACGAGGCACUACGGUGCUGAAGCAACAAAUGCCCUGCUUCCAGGAAAAGCCUCUAAGCAUCAGGUAACAUCAAAUCGUACCCCAAACCGACACAGGUGGUCAGGUAGAGAAUACCAAGGCGCUUGAGAGAACUCGGGUGAAGGAACUAGGCAAAAUGGUGCCGUAACUUCGGGAGAAGGCACGCUGAUAUGUAGGUGAAGUCCCUCGCGGAUGGAGCUGAAAUCAGUCGAAGAUACCAGCUGGCUGCAACUGUUUAUUAAAAACACAGCACUGUGCAAACACGAAAGUGGACGUAUACGGUGUGACGCCUGCCCGGUGCCGGAAGGUUAAUUGAUGGGGUUAGCGCAAGCGAAGCUCUUGAUCGAAGCCCCGGUAAACGGCGGCCGUAACUAUAACGGUCCUAAGGUAGCGAAAUUCCUUGUCGGGUAAGUUCCGACCUGCACGAAUGGCGUAAUGAUGGCCAGACUGUCUCCACCCGAGACUCAGUGAAAUUGAACUCGCUGUGAAGAUGCAGUGUACCCGCGGCAAGACGGAAAGACCCCGUGAACCUUUACUAUAGCUUGACACUGAACAUUGAGCCUUGAUGUGUAGGAUAGGUGGGAGGCUUUGAAGUGUGGACGCCAGUCUGCAUGGAGCCGACCUUGAAAUACCACCCUUUAAUGUUUGAUGUUCUAACGUUGACCCGUAAUCCGGGUUGCGGACAGUGUCUGGUGGGUAGUUUGACUGGGGCGGUCUCCUCCUAAAGAGUAACGGAGGAGCACGAAGGUUGGCUAAUCCUGGUCGGACAUCAGGAGGUUAGUGCAAUGGCAUAAGCCAGCUUGACUGCGAGCGUGACGGCGCGAGCAGGUGCGAAAGCAGGUCAUAGUGAUCCGGUGGUUCUGAAUGGAAGGGCCAUCGCUCAACGGAUAAAAGGUACUCCGGGGAUAACAGGCUGAUACCGCCCAAGAGUUCAUAUCGACGGCGGUGUUUGGCACCUCGAUGUCGGCUCAUCACAUCCUGGGGCUGAAGUAGGUCCCAAGGGUAUGGCUGUUCGCCAUUUAAAGUGGUACGCGAGCUGGGUUUAGAACGUCGUGAGACAGUUCGGUCCCUAUCUGCCGUGGGCGCUGGAGAAUUGAGGGGGGCUGCUCCUAGUACGAGAGGACCGGAGUGGACGCAUCACUGGUGUUCGGGUUGUCAUGCCAAUGGCACUGCCCGGUAGCUAAAUGCGGAAGAGAUAAGUGCUGAAAGCAUCUAAGCACGAAACUUGCCCCGAGAUGAGUUCUCCCUGACUCCUUGAGAGUCCUGAAGGAACGUUGAAGACGACGACGUUGAUAGGCCGGGUGUGUAAGCGCAGCGAUGCGUUGAGCUAACCGGUACUAAUGAACCGUGAGGCUUAACCUU
rnacentral:rRNA from 1 species